ACCAGAAUGUACAAAUCUCUCAUUUUCUGUUUGAGGAAAACUGUAAUGUUUUGCUAUUUAGAAAAGGUAACAAGAACUGUCCCUUACUUCCCAUAUGCAACUAGUCGGAAACAAAAGAAAGCAGAAGAGCAAACUAUUGAAAUAUAAUGUGCAGCAGGAUAUUCAGUUCUAUGGCAGCUCUGAAUUUCAAGCUGUAGAGACAGAAGGGGAAAAAGGGUUGCAAAACAUGUUCCCAAAGACUGGGGUUCAGGAAAAAAGGAUCAUGAUUGCCCUUUCCAGUAUGUGCUUGCACUUCAUCUGUACUAAGAGGUCAAACUCUCCAAAUGCUCCCCGGUCGAUAAUUUCUCAAUAUUUGAUUUUAAGAAUUGCAGGUUUUAUCUUAAGUGAUUCUGCCUAGCCUCUGUCUAGAGUGUACACACAAUAAAACUUCAGGCAUCUGGAAAUGGCAGACAGGAUUCUAUUCUCAACAACUUUCCAGGUCUCUCCCUCCUUCAGUGAUAGUGCAAAUAUUGGCAUUCAUUCUAAGAAAGCUAUUUCAUUAGUAGCAUGUUACUUGCCUCAGCAAGGCAGACUCUACUGGCUCAGGACUGUAUGGAACAUCGGAUAUUAAUUCUUUCUUGUCCUCCACCAUGCUGGUCUGCUAAUGGCCUUUAUACUAGUGGUGGAAAACCAGGUAAUGAGAGGAGCUUUUCUACUAGCUCCAAUAUAAACUUGAUAAGAUCUCCACAGUGCACAGUUCCUACAACAGGGACAGUUUGUAACUUCUACAAAAAGUUUUUAGUUUCACAGUCUCAAGGAGAUCUGUUAGAUUUUAGUAAUCUACUUUAAAAACAAACAAAAACUCUGAGUUUUGAUAGUAUUUUUUGGUCUUUGCCAUUUGAUUGCUAGGAAACGCAUAGUCCUCUGAGACAUAAGCCUCUCAGGAGAAGUGCAGUGGGUUAGUCAGAUGCUAAGCCUGAUAUUAUCUGGCUUAAAAUUAUAAGGAGAGAUAUUCCUUGGAACUGAUAGUCAUGUGUGCACCUUUUCUUGGGUUUGAUACGUGAAAAUUAUUAUAGCAUAUGUCCCUAGGUAGUUCAGAUGUCCUCCUUUCUUUCAAUGAAGCAAGUUUUGGAGACUUUAGGCAUACUUAAAAUCAUCUGCUGUUUUCUUGAUACUUCUCUCUGUUUUCUGGACCAACUUCUUUUUCUAGUUAUAAGUCAGACUGCAGCUUUUCAGCUCCUUUGAUUUUCAUUAAUAUAUCAGCAGCUUCCAUUGAAUUACCCAUUGUCGGAUUUAUCAAAGACACAAAACCAAUGAAAUGAAAAACAAAACAAAACAAAACAAAACAAAACAAAUUACUUGGGUGUUUACUCAUGAUCAUGCUUAACGUGACUUUGAAAGUGGAGGACUGGAUGAAGUAGUUUUUUCCUAGGCUGUUUUUUUGGAAAAGUUUCUACAUUUUGAUAUAUUUCAAGCUAAAGGGCACAAUUUUGCUCUCUGUCAUUUAAAAUUGCUAAGAAUACUUAGUGGGCACAGCAAGACGUGAGGAAGGCACUAGAUGAAUCUGGGGAUAUUUAUUCAACUAUUUGAGAUAAUUUGAAUCUUUGCAUUUUGAUAAUGCUAGGUUAUACAAGCAGUAGCCUCACUAAAUUAUGCAGUAUUCAAAUAGAGGUGAUUUGCAAAUGUUUGUGUCACACCAGGAUUGUGAAAGUUUAGGAAAUGAAUAGCAAAUGACCUAAGAGACCAAAAAACAAUUGUGACAAAAUAAGGAACAAACCCCACUAUGAUUUAAGUAAUAUAACUAUGUUCAUAUGCAGUAGCCUACGCUACUCACACACAGGAUAGCAUUUUUUGAAUGUCUGAAAUUUGUUAAAGAAUUUGAGUAAUGGCAACAUCCUGAUAGGAUGUUUUUAGUCUGGAGUCAAGUCAAAUUUGGACAAACACAGAAUGAGAUUGUUAGGAUAUGAUAGCUUAAAUAUGGAAAAAAAAAUACUGAUGGUCAUACAUAAGUAGGCUUUUUCAGCUCGGAGAGGAGAAGGCUCCAGGGAGACCUCAUUUUGGCCUUCCAGUACUUGAAGGGAGCUUACAAGCAGGAGGGGGACUGACUUUUUACAUGGUCUGAUAGUAAUAGGAUAGGAGAAUGGCUUUAAAUGGCUUUAAACCAGAAGAAAGGAAAUUUAGGUUAGAUGUUAGGAGAGGCACUGCUACAGGUUUCCCAGAGAAGCUGUGGAUACCCCAUCCCUGUAAGCAGCCAAGGCCAGCGAAGCCUGAGUUGGUGCCUGGCAACCCUGCCAAGAGCAGGGGGUUUGGAACUAGGUCCCCUCCAACUUAAGCCAUUCUACACUUCUAUGAUUCUAUGAAAUUAUGCUUGAAGAGAUUUGGAUAAAGACUCGUGUCUUGACCAAGGAAUCUAAUAUUAAUCCAUAACUAUAAUUCAUAUGCAAGAGAACGAAAAUGGUUAUUUACUCCUAGAGUAUUACCCUUCCCUAUUUACCCACAAUCAACUAUGAGAAAGUAGAAAGGCUGUUAGGGACAUAAGUUCCUUUACUCUGAUAAUAUGAAGGUCACCAUAGUUAAAUGUUGUCAUUGUCUGCAUAGCAUAAAUUAAAGCAUAAGUAAACAUUAUUCAAGAAAGAGAUCCUUCUCUUGAUUUUGAAAUAAUCAGAGAUCACUGUAGAUAGUACUAAUAAAGUAAGCAUUACAAGUAGUUUGUUGAGUUGUGAAUUGUCCCUUGGGAAUCCCAGACCCUGGAGGUAAGAGAGAGAGUCUGGGGAAAAGAAGAUUGCCCCAUGGUUGAGGAGAAUCUGGUCAGAGAUUGUCUAGGCAAGCCCAUAAAUCCAUGGUCCCCAAUGGGAUGCACCCAUGUGUGCUGAGAUAGCUUGCAGAAGCAAUUGCUGAACCACUAUCAUCUUUGAAAGGUCACAGAGAACAGGAGAGGUAUCCGAAAGACUGGAGGAUAGCCAAUAUACUCCAGUCGUCAAAAAGGGCAAGAAGGAGGAGCUGGGAAUCUACAGGCUAGUCAGCCUCACCUCUGUCCCUGGGAAGGUAUUCUGGAUGUCAUCUCCAAGCAAGUAGAAGAGAUUAUCAGGAGUAGUUAACUUGGAUUCACCAAGGGGAAAUCAUGUUUAACAAAUCUGGUAGCCUAUGAUGUCAUGACCAGCUGGGUAGAUGAGGGAAGAGGCAGAAAGACCUGGGAAAGUCCAGCCUGGAGAGGACUGAGAGAGGAUCUUAUCAGUGCUUAUAAAUAUCUAAAUGGUGGGUGUCAAGUGGAUGGGGCCAGGUUCUUGUCAGCAGUGUCCAGUAAUAGAACAAGGGGCAAUGGGUACAAACUGGAACACAGAAAGUUCCAUUUGUACUUGAGGAAAAUAUUCUUUACUUUGGGGGUGACAGAGCACAGGAACGAGCUGCCCAGAGAGGUUGUGGGGUCUCCUUCUCUGGAGAUAUUCAAAACCUGCUUGGAUGAUUUCCUCUGCAAACUACUAUAGGGAGCCUGUUUUUGCAGAAGGGUUGGACUCGAUCUCCGGAUGUCCCUUCCACCCCCUACCAUUCUGUGUUUCUGUGAACAGAGUGGCAAAGAGGACUGGGAAAGGCAAUAUAAUGCUAAUGUAGGAGAUGGUAUAACAGAAUGGCAGAUCAUAUGCAUCUAGAACCGUUUUGAAGGAAUAGGAGCUGUUUAUACACAGAAGCAACAUAAUAGUUGAAAUACAUCUACUUGUCUGAAGCUUCUUGGAAUCCAUAAACAGGUAACAAAUUUUUAAGGGCUUAGAAAGUAUUAGGUGUUUAUUCUAUAACCACAGGCUAUAUGAUUUCACCAGCCCUUCUCUGGCUGAAAAGUUAGUGAGUAAAGAAGCAAUCAGGCCACAGAAGAGGGAGAUAGGCAAUACACUUUAUCAUCCCAGCUGUGAUAGCUGGAAGAAAAGCAGACAGUUUCUAAGGGACAUGAGAGAGGUCUUCAGCAGGUCACACUUUCGAACGCUGACCCACCCCAACUCAUUCACCCACAUCCCUUUUUAAUCUACUCCAGAAGUGAACUGCUUCCCCUGAUAAAAAUUUUCAUCAUUUUCUUAACGUGAACUUUAGUGACUUCAGUGUUCAGCAGUUGAUUCUUGCAUGCUUUUGUCUGUUAAAUUAAAGAGUACCUGGUAUGAAAUGGCUUGUACUAGUAUAGCUCUCUGUAGCCUGCAGUCAAGCAUCCUUCUUAACCUCUUCCCAAAGGUAGGAGAGACUUGCUGUCUUCCAUUCUUCAUAUCCCCAUCUCUCCUUUUUGUGCUAUUUGGCUUCUCAGUCUCAUUAGUUCUUCCUACACCAUUUUGCAAAGUUGUUUGCCUUACUUGUCUCAAAGCAGGAAGACUGAAAUACAUAGCUACUGAUAUAGGUAGAUCUCAGAUACAAAAUACCAUUAUAUAUACCAUAUACACGUCUACCACGUAUAUACCAUCUUAUAUAAAUUACAUAUAUGAGAUAUGUGGUAUACAAAAUAAUACAAAUAUGUCCAUAUAUAUGUGUGAUAUAUAUAUAUAUAUAUAAAAGAUGCUCACAAAAAGGAAGGAAAGAGUCUAUUAUUCACGACCAUGGUGAUUAGUAGUGAAGAGGUUUUUUUACAACACAUUUGGAAAAAAAAAUUCUACCCUGAGAAUAGUUAGGCUCUCAAGCUGUCUUAUUUCUAGGAGAAACUUAAAAUAGAACUAGUGGAAAAUCAAGGCUGUUUUAUUUUAAGAUAUACAUACGUAACAGAGCUGUUCACUAGUAGAUUACAGACAUACUCCACCAUUAUAUAAACUAAUCAGUGGGAGCAAAAUCAGGAGAUAUUUCAAAGAGGAGCUGUCUCUACGAUCCAGUGCUGGUACAGGUUGGUCUGGAUGAUUUCCAAAGGCUCCUUCUCCAACUAGCAUUUCUUUUCUCUCUCUCUCUCUCUCUUUUUUUUUUUUUUAAUUAUUAUUUUUGUUGUAUUAAUGCAGCAAGGCUUCUAAACAUAGCCACAAGGGAUUAAUAAAUAUUAAUGACUGACUUUUGGGAAGGUAGCAUCAGCUAUCAAGGCAAGACUUUUUUUUGCCAUGAUACAGGCGCACCACUUUCAGUAUUGUGGGAGAGGGGAGAAUCAUCUCUGGGUUUAAAAUCCAGGCAGAAAAUCCAUUCUGCCUGUCGUGCCACUGGUCAGCGCUAUGUGUUAGCAAAAUGAAGGUGACUUCAUUCUGGCAGUGGGCUGCUUGGCUUUCAAAAUAAACUGCUCUAAAAUCAUAGGAAUUAGAGAAAAUGGAAAUCAGACUAACGAAGUAAGAGAUAUGAGGGGCUGCCAGGAACGUGGAAGAACACAGAGUGCAAGAAAUAACACCUUUCCACUGGUCCAAGUGUGAUUCAAGGAGGACUGCAAUAAGCAGAAAGCACAACUGAUGGACUAAAGCAACUGUGUUUAGAUGAUUAUUGAUUGAAGCAAAGUUUUGCCUUAGCAUGUAUGAAAAGUGUGACAAUUCAGUUACUGUUAUUGUUGUUCCUGUUAGGUAUCUAGAGCAACUCGGUAAAGAUUGCUUUUGUGCUAGGCAAACCUCAUGGAACCUAUGCUCUUCAUCAUAACUUUCAUUUAGCAGGAACUUUCAGUGUUUUCUUUUCUAGCUUUUGUUUCAUGCUAAUAGAGUUUUUGCAUGACAGGACAGCUCUCACUAAUAUAAGGACUUAAUAAGAGGUUCAGUUGCAGAGGCAUUUUUCUGAGAAUUAGAAGGUUAUUUAUUCUUUCCUUAUAGAACUGUGAGGAAUGCUAAGUGAAGAGGUUUCUAGUUAGAGAUUAAUACUGGGUUUAAUGGACAGCCAGCUACUUCAGCAGUGUGUGAUUUUGUAACAAUCACAGCCAUGAAGUAGAGAACAGGGAAUUACUUCAUUUGUUGCAGGCAAGUCAGAUAUCCGAGUUUUCCGUAAGGCUGGGAAGUAGCCUGUAGUUACACAUUCGAGUUUAGUUUUUCACUGAUACGCUUCUGAGAGGUGAUGUGACUAGACGUUCCAAAAUGUAGUUUCAUGGAAUGGGAGCUCUAGUGACAUCCCGUCCCUGUUCACCCUGCUUAGCCCCUCAUUAGCUGGAAUAAAAGACUGGCAAUCUCACUCUGAUAAGAGGUAUUUGGGGGUCAGCGUUCAGCCACCAAUACAGGCAGAGAGCCUGGUCUGAACUGAUUAGCACUGUUAAAUGCUUUGCCAGGGAGAGGGUGUUGAGAAAGGAUGUAGUGCUCCACAUAUAUCUGUGCUGCAGCAAAAUCAGGGAGCCUGCCUUAUCCUCCUUGUCUCUGCAAAUAAAUAAUUGCAGCAGGCAUUAGAUUUUUCCUAUACAAACGUCUCUUUUGCCAGAAUUAUAUAAAGGAUCCUAAUGUAAAUGAGAUGCAAACACAUAUUGUACACUACAGUAAUGCUAAUUUGUUACAAAAGGAAGCGCUGCUGUUAAUGAAGUGCUGAGACAUAUCCAUCUUGAAAGCACUGUGGGGAAAGAACACUGAAGCAACUGAUUAGGAAACAGGGAAAACUAAUAUUUUUUUAAUAAACCAAUGUUAAGUAUGAGCAGUUGGUUCUGGUUACAGCUCUGCAAAAUCCAGAUUCACUUAUCAGUAAUGAAAAGGAUAUACUCUUUACUGUAGCCUAAGCUGACGCCAGAACUGUCAUUUAAUUAAAUCAUGAUUAAUUUUUCCUAGCUCUAAACUGAAAAGCAAAACUGUAGAACCACACUACUGUGGGCCAUAGAAAUCUGAUAUUUAACCUUGCAAACCGUCAAGAUUUUUUGUUUGCCAGUUGUCUUUCUGUUCUCUGUUGCUUUUGUGAUGCCAGUUGCAAAAUCCAGCCUUAUUUUUAUCUGAUAUAAUACUUUUCCAUGGCAAUGGCAUUCAUGUAUGUUACGUAGUCAGAACUCCUCCAGUAAGACCAGCUGAGGCUACGAAGCCUGACUGCAUAGCACUUGGGAUUUGUCGAGCUGAUACUUGUAGAACAGUGAGUGGAAAUAAAAGUGUUGUUUACUGUGGUUUGUUUUGCUUUUCUUUGACAAGAAGUUCAGUAACAAAGCCAGCUACCAGUAGGGCAGUAGCAGAUUUGAGUAUCUGGAUAUUUCUGUUUAUUUGAUACCGUCAGAAAAUACUUUAUAUUUUUGAGAUAAUCAUGAAAAUCACAAUUCCACUUACAAGGAGAAUUGAGGGCAUUGCAACUCAGUGCUGUUCUUAUUCAAACUACUAAUUUGUUUCUUUCAAAACUUUUAGAGAAGGAACUGGCACACGUCUCAGGCACCUAGUGUUUUGUCAAUAUGUGCUGCUUUGAAUCCUUCUCUCUCAGAACAGAAAUCUGAGCAGAUUUCUUUCCACGUGAUUAGGCACUUCAGCAAAUCUGUACCCUCAUCUCCUUCAGCUCCUCCAUUUAACCAUGUGCUGUUUUGCUGAAAACACCUCCCUCCUCUAAUCAGUGCACCGAGCUGUAAUCUCCUUAUUUCACCCUUCAGCAGUAUCUUUCUUUCUUUUUCCUCACUUGCUUUUUUGCAGUCACUGGAUUGCUCUUACAGAAGCGCUCCUUGGUACCUCCCCUCCACAUUCUUGAACUUUGUACACGCUCCUGACACUGCAUCAUUUCUCUCCCUUCUCUCACAUCUAUGGGCUGAGAAAUCAGUCACCACCGAUUACCCAAUACAUCUACAUGGGGCCAGGGCUGCAAUUUUUAUAGAGAAAAUGUGGUGGAAUCCAGACUUCAAAGGGGGUUUCGUUCUGUUGGAUCAAUCUGGGCUGGGAAUGUCGGAGUAACUUACUGUUCUCUGAAAUGAAUGCUCCCACCAGUCAAUAGAUGACUAGCUCAGACCUUUCAGAAUAUGUUUCCUUUCAAACCAGCAAAAUGCCUGCUUUGUCCUCUCUCGAAAAACUAAAUGAUAUCAACAAAAGCAAGGGAAGGCUGUUGUUACUUCAAUUAUUGUUAUUACUGGCAAAUAAAGCAUUAGAGAAAUCUAAAGCUUUGUGUUCACAGUCUGAUAUUCAAAUAACGCAGAUGCUCUCUCAGAAAAUUAUUUAAAUGCCUAAUCAGCCAAUAGCCACAAAAUAAUAAUAAGAUGUUAGGCCAAGGAAUAGGUGGGGUCACAUUGAUUUAUUCAACAGUUGAUGCAUUUCAUAUGAUCGCAGCAAGCAAACAGAAUUGAUUUAGAGCUGCUAUUUAUGGAGAUAGCUCACUAUGAGCUGUAACCAUUCAAGCUCCUGGAAGAGUCCCACACCGUAUUACUCACAGGCAGUGCAGACUGACAAACUUCUGAGAGUAUUUACCCCCACUCAUGGCACCAAGAGGUAAGUACCACCUGGACUUUCUUGCACACUGUGUAAUCUGUUUCUUUACCAGUGCCAGUAGAUCAUAGAAGAGUUUUGUCUUGUGAGGAGUCCAGAUUGAUUCAGGAGGAACCAAAAUGGAGGGGGUGAAGGAACUGAGGAAAUCCAAGUUAGAGAGGAGUGAAAAUUAAAUUCUGGAGAAGUGGAAAGCUGAGCGUUGGAGCACGGUGUUUUCAGCACAUACUCGAUGAUUAGGAAUUCACACAGCAUUAAUAGGAGAUGCAUUCAAAAAGCAGCUCAAACUUCUAGCACUUGGUUUUCUCAGAUUGUUUUGGAGGUUUAUGGAAAGUUUUAGGAACUGGACUGUCAUUAAAACAUGCAAAUGUGAAAAAAUAUAUUCUACAAACAACAGAAAAGGUGUGCUUGAUAAAUCGUAUUAUGUUGUCUUUGAAACCUAGCCUAGCCAUAAGGAGGUAUUAUAAAAGGAUGUGCUGCUUGUCUGCCUUGGGAAAAGGAUAAUGUAGGCUCAUUCAUGUAAGUUGUGCUCUGCACCACAAAACGUGAUAACAUUCAGGAGGGGCAUUUCAAAAACGCAUGCUUUGAAUUGCAGUUUGCAGAAACAACAGUUGGUGGCACUUUGAAACAAUUUUUAUUUCUAAAUGCACAUUUGCUGAUUGUAGGUAUGUAGAGGAUGACAUUAAAAUAUUAAAUCACCAGUCUACAGUGAUUUGAAUUACAGUGAUGAUACAGAAGUCACCAGCUGUAUUUUGCAUGGUUCACAGAUAGUUUGCUUACACAGAAUUUGAAGAUCUGAAUUUAUAAAAACAAAGAAGGUGAUCAGGGCCACAAAUUCUAUUUCAAAAACGCUAGCAAGAAGUUACCAGAAAAGAUAGUAAUGACAAAGAUAGCAGUGGAAGUCACUGCUAACUGGGAAGAUUGCUCCAACCCUUAAAGGCAUCAAGGCCUGCAGUAGCAGCAGCACAGCACACCUCCAUGGACAGCUUGUCUUCACCUAGUUUACAUUUUGUUGUGGGCUUUUGUUUUUUUCACAACACUGAUGUUCACGGUAUGUAACCCAUAUGUAGAUGUCUAUUUUUAACCAGCAAUCAUUGGAUAAACAUACAUUUUCUCAAAUUUUAUUCCCCAAGAAACGUGAGGGAGAAGAUCAUAAAGAGACUGAGGUGGCCAUUGCAGAAGAUCAAAAGUUCAUCCAUGGUAUUUCUGCCAAUCAAGUGCAGUCACACUACCUGCAUAGGAACAGUAGGAAAGUAACAUCUGAUAUCAGAUAGGCUUUACUGGGCUUUACUGGAGAAAACUGAUGGAUUGAAAGACAUUAUUUUUGUGUCUUCACAUACCUUGUCUGAAUACCUGACAUUUAAAGUAGCUGGGAAGCCAAACUUCAUUCCUUAGAGGUUACAGAUGAUCAUCUGUCCCACAGGUCAGCUGCUUUGGAGUCAUUUGAUUCCAGGAGAGACACUUCACCACAGUGACAGCCCUGAAUACCAGAGCAGCUUGCUACCUUGGCUGUGGCCAUUUGCCCAAAGAAUGGAAGAUCAGCUCACAGCUGGUGCUUGGCAAUCUUAACAACUUGGCCAAAGGAGCUUCAGCACCUUCUGUUCUGUCUCUAAUCUCACAUAUUGGAAUUGCAAAGUCUAUGUCAACAGAGGAUAAUAAAUCUGGAACCAUUUCUGGGUUCUGCCCCUCCCCUUCAUCCUGUGGAUCAGCUGCAAAUGACUCCUGUUUGCAGAGCUGGCCCUGAAUAUGUUGGUCUUGACAGUAUAAGCCAUAAGUGAUUUUUAUUUGGCCUUCUAAAUUAUAUAUUUUGCAGUUACUAAUAGAUCUUUAUAUUGGCUACUUUGGGUUCCACAGAAAAAUGUUUCAUUUAGCUGCAGACAAACGCUGCCUGAUGCAUUUACAAAUAUGUUCUUGCCUGGGAAUGUUUUGCUGCUUCCCAAUUUAAUUCCACAGGGCUGCUUGCACUGAGGAGAAAGCUUGUCAUAUCCAGUAUGAUAAAGCAAACUUCCUUUUUCUGAAGAGUAAUGCUGCCUGGCAUUCUAAAUUUUCUGUAAUGUGCUACUAGAUUUGGUGAAACUGUGAGCUAAAUACUGAUUUCACAUUUUCUGGCUUUUGUAUCCUUCCACGUACCAUAGACUUUUGAAAUGUUCUUGCUUCAGGUAUGCUCACAUGAUGCCUAGGUAGCCCAGCAGUGCCCAUGAGUUUCACGCAUGAGCAUCUUUCUGAGCUCUCUACACCCCUGCAUGCCACCCUGCAGUGGAAAGCUGCUUUUAGCCUGAGAGCUUCUGCUUCAGCCCAAGAUGAUGUUCUGGGGCUUCUCAUGUCUCUGCUCUUCAUUACCUAAAUCAGUAAUUUGUACCUGCCCUCUCAAGAGGUUGCUCAUACUCACGUUGUUCUCUUACAUGCCUGACCUUGUGUUUGUAAAGGGCUCAGGAGCCCUCUGUUUAAACAUUUUGUAUACCUGCCUGAGUAGUGAAUCAGUUCUCACACACUGCAGAAAUACCUGCUUGCUACCCAGCUCUCACCUUGCCUGCAUGUAGACAAAUGGCCCUUUGCAUUGGCCAUCAGCCAAGGCAGUCAAUUCUGACUCAGCCAGUGCCCUCAUUACAUCCCUGACCUGCAAACUUGGUUGCUUCUAUCACGCAAGACAUAAUCCCUUUGUUCUCUCUCUGAGUAGCUGUACCAGGCAUACACCUGGCUUCCUGCUCCCAGCAUGGCUGGCAAUGUGGCAGCUUCAGCUGGAAGGCUGAGCUGCAGCUUGGGAGCCCUGACUCUGCUCUGUUCUUUUGGCAACUGCCCUUACCCAUGACUUCGGACCUACAAACCACAUUCACAGACAGGUUGUUUUGAAUAAUUUAGUCUGUUAACUACUCUGGCUCUGAUGUGUUUUUCCACGUAGAUGUAAAUCUGUGUCCCUUCAACGCCUUCUUGCAGGCAGAUUCUGGGACCAAUUUCUUCCCCCUUUCUCUUAACCAAGUUUUAUGAACCCUCAACAGAAUCAUCUGCUCCAGCAGAAGAGCAUCAAGUCCAAGUGAGUGAAAGCAGGUGUUGUGUUCCACUGCCUUGGUGUACUCCAAGGAGGAAAAGGCAAUUCAUUCCAGUGGGCUUCAUCGCUUCCUGGGAACACCAGGACCUCUGCACUGUCAGUGAAAGGAGAGACGUGCCAAUGUUUGGUGGAUGAGAAUACCCUCUCGAGCAUUUGAAAGCACCUCUCUCUUUUCACUGAUGACAAGACUCCCUUUAUAAGAAAUACAUGGUGCUAUAUUCGGUGGACUGGAUUCCUUUAUUCCUCCUUUCUCUUCGUCCCUUCCCUCCCUCUGUUUACUUCCUCCCUAGGCCAGGUGCCAAAAAUGCUAGUGCAGCAGUAUCUCAGCUAUCAGCUUAAACUGUCAAACUGGCUUCCACCUCUUUCAUUUCAGAGAGCACUGUAAUUGAAACUCCUCUUAUUUUGGGUGAUGGUAGUAUUUUAAACUCAGAAUUAUGUAAAGAAAUGGAGAUAACGCUGAACCGCUUCACUGCAAAGGGGUGGCUACAGACCAAGCAAGGAAAUGUUUGCAUAAAUCCUAUGUAGGCAGAUUCUCACCUAGAAAAAGCCUGCAUUUCUGCCAAAAUAUUCAGAAUCUCUCUGGCAUCCACCACAAGCCAAUUGUCAGGCUUGAUUGGUCCGGCAGGGAAGGCUUUUGCUUUCAUUUCUGCACAUUUGGUGCCAGCAUAUUUCCCUGACAAGUGAUGCAAGAGGUGACGGCAAGAGUUCAUUGACCGUGGAGAUGCCUACGCAGGGAAUCACUUUCCUUCUUCUGCAGAGGUGAGUAGAAGCCUGCAGACACACUGAGGAGAACGGGUUGACAUUGUGCUCAGUUUUUGACAGUGCCCAGGUUGCAUGGGCUGGUGCUCUCAAGCAUUGCAGGUGGAACAAUGCAUGAGUCUCGAGAAAGCUGGGAGGUAUCCCAGAGGGGGAAGCUUGGCUGAAAAAUGCCUUAUAACACAAUGCUUUAUUAGUAAGGCUAAAAAUCUGUGGGCAAAGGUGUCCAAGAAUCUUGCUUAAUGCUUUGGUAAUUAGGUGGUAAGUAAAAAGUAAUUCUACAUUUACCAAAUCAGAGAAACUCUAUUAAGCUGCUGUUUGCUUCUGCUGUGCCUAUUUUAUCAGGCAUUAGGAAGCAAUACCAGAAAAGGAGACAGACUAUAGGUUAUGCCAGUUCUAUAUGGGUCAGGCUGGGCUUCCUAGUGUCUUAUUUCCAGACAUUUGGGUGUUUGUGUGGUGGGACGACAGUGGGAGGUUUAUUUGGUUUUCUUCCAGUGGUGGCAAAUUAUAAAGAGAGUAGGAUUUCAUCCCUUAACAUGUUUUAAUUUAUCAAUUGUAUUUAUCAAUUCAAUCAAGAAUAAUCUUGAGCAGAGAAUCUAAGGAUGAGGCUGGAAAGGACUGGGCACAAGGACAGGACUGACUUGCCUAAGCAGUGGUUUGCAGUCCAAGGUAUUGGCAAGGGGAGCAAUGAGACACAGCAUUAUCCAGCAGAGAUAAGAGAGGUGUUUUAUGGAGGCUGACUGCAGGGCUGCUGACCUUAUCAAAGGAAGAUUUCUUAUACCAUGUGUAAAUGAAAUUUUUAAGGAAAAAAAAAAAAAGAAACAUUAAAUAUUGAUUUGUUACUGGAGAAAUUCUGCACAGCGUGUCUCAUAAGCAGUAUAGCACGUGCCACUAGCAAUGAGAGGUAAAGCAGAAUAUCCUUUGUGAGGUGGAGUGCACUGGAACAAUUGAGCAUCUGCGCUAGAAGCCUCUUGCAUGGAAUCAGCAUUGGUUUGUUCGUUCUGCUUCCCUAUGAAAACAUUUUCUAAAUAUUCACAUUUUAUGCAGAACUGAUAGUUAAAUUUCUCUGCCAUCUCCUUAGCUGCUCUGCUUUCCAUCUGAAAAUAUCUAUUUAAACUCUGUUGCAGCCUCCCAAAAACCUGUGAUGUUCUGAUGAAACCCAUUCUGCUGCAAAUCUCCCUGCCCAGGUGAUACCGGAGAUCUGUUUGGAAUUGCAGAUGUAAGAAUGAUAUAUGGAGUUAUUUUCCCAUUUUAACAUGAAUUCACUUACCAAGGGCAGCAUCUUCAUUACCCCACUUUAGCAUGCAUGCCUGCUAAAUCCAUUAUUCAUAGAAUCUGUAUGGCAUUAGCAGAAAUUUGCCUAUGUGCUCCUUCUGAAAUGGGAUGUCACUGCAUAACCUCACCUAGCCAGCUGCCAUACUCUGGGUAGGUAUGUACAGAACAGUUCUAAAAGAAACAAAAGUGCUUAUUUUUAUAUUUAAUUAUAUUAUAUAUUUAUUUAUUAUAUAUAUUAUAUUAUAAUAUAUUAUAUUUAAUUAACAUUUAAUUUCAAGUAACACCAUAUGUUACAGUUGGGAGUCUGGAAAUAUUAAGAGCUGGCUUAUGAGGUGAUCUAGUUUUAUCUCUUGCCAUUUGGAAGCCAGUCUUAGUUGUCUCUUCAAGAUAAAACAAGCCACUAAUGAUCUCCUGGUAAAGUAACACAAAGAAAUAAGAGGUUUCUUAUAGGUGGUUGUUAAAAGUUAGAAAAACGUCUUCCAAAAGAGAAAAGCAUAUAUGCAGUGUGUGGACCUAGCCCUAGCAAAUGUACUGACCGGUCCCGUGUCUCAUCUGCAAAGUGUUUCCUAUGUGGCAGAGCAGUGGUUCUGUAAUUAGGGAUUACUCGCACAAGUAAAGGUUUGUGUGAUACCCUAUAGUCUCUUGUCCAUUCAAAAACCAAACCAACCAAAUAAAAUAAGUUAUUUGCACAGGAGUAGGUUCUUUUAAAAACAGUUUAAAAAAUCAGAAUUUUUAAAUGGUUUGGGUUGGAAGGGACCUCAAAGCACACUCAGUUCCAACCUACACAGCCACCCACCAGAUCAGGUUGCCCAGGGCUCCAUCCAACCCGGCCUUGAGUGCCUACAGGGAUAUGGCAGGCAGUCUGUGUCAGGGGCUCACACCCCACUGAGUAAAACAAUAGUAUGAUAUUUGUUAACAUCGCCCAGGCCAAAUGGCCAGCAAAAAAAAAAAAAAAAAAAAAAAAAAAAAGGUUUUGAAGUUUCCAAUCAGGCACAGGCUUUUGCAUAUACUGUCAGAAUUUUUUUACUUCACUUGUCUUCCCGGGUGAGACAGUCACUCAAACAUGGGAUCAAUGACACUGAUCGAUACCUCGCCCAGUAUUGUGAAAGGUCAUACAUCAUUGUCUGCUAGCACUAGGGUAAUUUGCAAACAGAUGCUACUUGUAUUGGAGUGGUGCCCAGAGGACUCUGAGCAGGAUGCUCAAGCACCACUCUGCUGGACAGACACAAAAGAAAACAGUCUGUACUUACCGCUGAGAUAGGAAGGAGCUGUGACAGCAGUAAAACGCAGGCAGCGCGAGCUUGUGAGGGAAGGGGUAAGUGAAAAUAAUGGCAGAGGAAUGGCAGAGCAAGGCAGUGCCUCUGAGCCACUGUUCCCUGAGGCUGAGAAAAGUCUGUGAGGGGGCAGCUCAUUAGAAGACUGCAGCUGCUUCCAGCACCUAAAGCAAUAAGUAGGUUUUUUCAGAGGAGCUGGUGCCUGAAUGUUUCUGAAAAUCUCCUCAUAGCAUCACUGUGGGAGCCCUGAGCUUCUGAGUGCUAUUGAAAACUUGGUGUUUGCUUAGCAGCUGACUUGGAAGCUAAACCCAUCUAAAAGUCUGUGUUUUGGUGUGGCUGUUUGCAGCGUGAGUCAGUGCGCGUUCCUCCUCCAUGUCCAUUACCAGGCAUUGCUGUCUCCUAGAUGUGGGAAUUACUGAUGUCGUCAAAGGUUAAUAGCAAAAGAAAUAAUUUCAUUUGUAAGUACCCCCAGCUGAGAAACUGUUAAUCACACCCCAGGAGAGCUUGCCAGCUUGCAUUUCUGAAGAUGAAAGGAAACAACGUUCUUGCCUGUUUGUUUUACAGCUCUGUCUAAUGAGAGUGGGUGUCUUGCUAUUUUAUACAAUGUUCAGAUAUGAAAUAUAGCAGUGACCGUCUUGAAGUAUUGCUGCAUUUUCAUACACUUCUUCUGGAAAAUGGCAUACAUGUAUUAUAUUCCAUAUAUACAGAAACUCUGAUCUUUCAUUAGGUUUUUAGAUUGACUCAUGCAUAAAUGAUAUUUAUUUGCAGGUGAAGAUAAAAAUAUGGAGUGAAAUUGAGCUUUACAGAAGGGGAUGGAUUUUAGGGGCUGUGAAAUCGGAACUCAGAGGGAAACAUUGCAUCUUAAAUAUUUAAUUAGUAAUUAUAAUUUCUUUAAGUAUACCAUCACAGUGUAGUGGUAUUUGUUGCUUUUCUUUGUGAACACCUUUAUUUCUCAAUCUUCUAUAGGAAAACAUGAGAAAAAACAUGAGGAAGGAAUCUAAGGUAACAUGAUCUCUUUCAUUGAGUAUAAUGAAAUGUUUAUUAGCUGCCUCAGUCACUUCGUGCAAGUACUUUCAUCUGACUGCCACUGGGAUGUGGGUACACAACAGGGCAGAUAACAAAACUGUAUGGUUUGCCCGAUUUCCAAAUUCUGGGUGAUCAUUUAUUUUCUAAAACUGGAGAAGUCAUGCAACUUCUAAGAUGAUACAUGAUCCAAAUUAAUUCAUAAUAUACAGUUUUGAAUUAUUGACUAUUCUGAAUAUUGAAUUAUAAUCAUAUAUAUGACCAAUUUUCUUCAAUUAGUGUGAGUGGCUUUCAAAGCAACACCACCUCUUCUGCACAGAUUGCAAGAUUUAUAGCUUUCUUUACAUUCGUUGUAGCUAAACACAGCCAUGAUAUCCUGCAAAUAAGGAAUUGCGAUGGCAAAUCCAUCAGCUGAAUCUUUGGUUCAUUGGCAUAUAUAUAUUCUGGAAAUAAUACGAAAUGGACUCAGUUAUAGUUGAAAGUUAUAAAUUAAAAUGAAACAUAAAAGAAGGCUGAUAUGGCAAACAACUUUUUCAAGGUGAGUAUUUCACCAUUAAAAAAAUCCAAACAACCCUAGUUCAAACCAUAUUGAAGAUUUUGAGAACAAAAACCUUGACAUGACUAAUUUUUAUGCAGUACAAAUUUGACAUUAAGAGACAUUGUAAGAAAAUGGGCUAUUGAUUAUACUAGACUAGACUGUGAUUGUGGUAUUCACAUGGAGCAUCCCUUCCUAAAUGAAAAUUCAUUGCAUUUACUCUUUUCUUUGAAGAUCGCAAUAGUCCUUACUGCAAUAACAGACGGUGAGCAACCCGACCCACCUAACGGUGAAAUGCUGUCAAGUUUGUUGUUCCAGAGAAACUCUUCUUCGCUAUUCAUAUCAUAGAAUCAUAGAAUCACUCAGGUUGGAAAGGACCUUAAAGAUCAUCGAGUCCAACUGCAACUGAAUACACUACCCUAACAACUCUCCGCUAAAUCAUGUCCCAGAGCACCACAUCCAAACGGUUUUUAAACACAUUCAGGAAUGGUGACUCAACCACCUCCCUGGGGAGCCUAUUCCAGUGCUUAACAACCCUUCCUGUAAAGAAGUGUUUCCUGAUAUCCAACCUAAACCUGUGCUGGUGCAACUUGAGGCCAUUUCCCCUCGUCCUGUCACCUGUCACCAGUGAGAAGAGACCAACCGCACUCUCACUGCAAUCACCUUUCAGAUAUUGGAAGACAGCAAUAAGGUCUCCCCUCAGCCUCCUCUUCCCCAGACUAAACAGCCCCAGUUCCUUCAGUCACUCCUCAUAGGGCAUAUUGUCCAAGCCCUUCACAAGCCUUGUUGCCCUUCUUUGGACCUGCUCCAGUACCUCCACGUCCUUUCUGUACUGAGGUGCCCAAAACUGAACACAGUACUUGAGGUGAGGCCUCACCAAUACCGAGUACAGGAUAUGCCACUGCUGAAGGUCUUACUAUCACAAAAACACACAAACUGGACCUUGACAUUAUUCAUAGAAUAUUUAGCUGGCAGAGAAGAAUUAGAACGUGAUUGUUGUGACUAAUUGCUUAGUUUUUUUCCUAAGAAAUGAUCUGACCUUAUGCCAUAUGGUCCAUAUUUUUAUGUAACUCCUUGGAAAUCCCAGGUUGUCCUCUAAAAUGCAAUUAUUUUACAAUGCAGCUAUUAUUAAAGACCUUAGCAAAGGUCUUGCUUUCCAAAUAAGUUUACAGAAGCCUGAAUUUACAUCUCAAUCCUAGUCCAAGAACAAAAUAUUUGGAAUAUUUUAUUUUGGCAACAUUCACCUUCUAAAAUGUGAAGAUCAAUUUGCAAAUAAGAAUACAGUCAUCUCCACAACUGAGUAAGUGAUCCCAAACUGAUGUUUGAAUAAUUUAGCAACUUUAAAGAGAAACUUAUUAACUAUUUCCAGAUAUGGGAAACUCUCAUGUACCAUAAAUCUAAAUCCCCUAGGCAAACUUGCCACAAAUAAACUCUAUAUCUCCUGAGAGAAUUUACACCAUAGUACCAACAUGUUUUCUGAGGGGAUUUUGUUUGAGGAAGUUAGAGUUAGCAACUUUAUAUUUAAUAAUGAAAAAUGUAUUGCAAUGUUAACUACAAAGAGCCCACUUCUAUUCCAUAACCAUUAAAACGCAGGAAGUCACCUAUUCAAUAAUGCAGAAUUGUUGUGUAUUAAAAAUUUAAAUCUAUAAAUAUUAAUAAAGCAUAGGUCAGUCUUUUAACCAACAGAGGUAGUUGUACACACAGCUAUCAUUGUAAGACUUAUAGGUCAUGCAUUUGUUGUGACAUGGAGCAAAGCAGGCAUGAUAAAAGGUAGUUGUCUGAUAAAGGAAAUUGUGAUUCUUUUUUCAGAUGAGCAUCAAGGACAAGAAAUCCUGGAGUAACUCAGGGGUCUGUGGUUGUCAUUUGGGAAGGACACAUUCAUGUUGCAAUCAAUCAAGCCAAUAUGCCAGAGUGAGCUUUGAAAGGCCAUGGCGUGAAAGUGCUUAUAAAGUGACAGUGGUCAAGAUUACCUUCAUCAGAUUCGCUCCAUGACACCACUUCGACAGAGUUUAAAGGCCAGAAGGAUUAUAUUAUUUGCUAGUUCCUUGGUCUGGAAAGGCUCAGCCAGUCUAUGCCAAACGUAUCCACUACCACCAGAGAGGUGAUUGUCAUGCAGGUGAAUGACACUGCAAAUAGAAGCAGAAAAAUAUGUCUGCAACAUGAAGCAGGAGGGUGAGUAGUGGCUAUUUCAUUCUCCUCUCCAGAGUCAUGCAACAGGUCUGCUGCCAUAUCAUACAGGGAGGAUGUAGCGUAUGUCUCGUUCAUCUGCUUGAGUCAUGUGGUUGGAAAUGAGGCAGCAGUAGCUGCUUUAAGAAAUACUUUUCCCUUUGUGGAAUUAGUUAUGUUCAUUUAGAAUAAAUAUUGAGACUGAAUCAGAGGGUAGGACAGAAUAUUUCACUGUCAUGAUGUCAGGUGGGAAUUUGAAGAAAGGCUACUUAUAUUGUGAAGGACAGGGAUCUUCAAGAAGAACAUGAAGAAGGAAGGACAGCAGACCUGUGAUAUCUUAGUCUGGGAAGUGUGUGAUGAUGACACAGACCUCCUGAGUUCUCUGAUCCAAAGCAAACAGCACAGACUAUGGACAUACGGGAAAAAAAGCAGAGUCUCAGGAGGAUGCAUUUCCGCGUGUUUGGUCUGGUUUUGUGAUUGUAGUUUUUUGGUGUUUUUUUUUUUUGUUUGUUUUGGUUUGGUUUUUUGUUUGUUUGUUUGUUUGUUUUCCAUUUUUCUUCUUCAUAGAGGCUGAUGCUUCUUCCUUCUGUCCUCUUCAGGUAGAGUGGUGACAAACUGCAGCUCAGAAUAGGGGUGCAGUAAUGAUUCUCCUACACGCUACAGAUAAAGCUGAUCUUCUCAUCCCACACAUGUUGCCCCUUGGCAAAAUCAGGAAAGCACAUAUGUUUUUACCAUUUCACAGAAUGACAGUAUUGAGCACCUUCCCAAACUGCUCUGCAUGAUGCUUCUCUGGCAUUGGACCUUGGUGAGCCCAGCAGCACACAGGCUCAGAAUACCAAAGCCAUGGCCUCUUUGGGCCCUCUAAGAAAUGCUGUAGCCAGAAUCACCUCACCCACAUUCAGAAGCUUUCAUCAUGCUGAUGCUGUUUUCUAGAACAUGUGAUAGCUCAACUGGGGGCCUUCAAAUCUCCAGGCUUUGAGAAGCACUCUCCAAUGUUUACCCUGCCAGAAUUUGCUGAACUGGCUUGAAACAAACCUGAUCCAUUUCAUACAUUUAGGAAUAACUCUAAAGCAGAUUUGUGGAGAUGUUUUCUCAUUGCUCUUUUCCUGGUUUCUGUCUACUUUUUAAUCUGUCUUGCUCCUUACCAGUGCUUAUAGCUGAUAUGUUGUAGUCACCUUCUCCACAUCUACUGAAAGCUCAAAAUUCAUUGGAAAAAUAAGAGAAAUUAGUGACAGAAAAGUUUUUUUUUCUUUCCUUAAUAUUUAUUCUUACAAGGUCCAAAGCUGGUGUACAGUUAGAGAGAUCAGCCCAUCUAGGAAGAAGAGCAGAACAUCUGGAUAUCCUCAGGGAAUCACAAGUUUCUCAUCUAGCUGUGCAGGAAGGCAACAAAUCACAUUGAAAAGUAAUAGUCAGAUAUCACCUGCACUCACUGUAGAUUUUGUAAAACUGUUAUUCCAAAGGGAGGAGCCUCUACAUGAUCCAUCCAUGUGCUUAAAAACAUUAUAAGAUGUUAGAGAUUACUUCAGUUUUAGACUACUGAAAGUCAUAAGUAAGUAGUUUCACAAAGUCAGCAUAAUGAGAAAAAUGUAAGCUUGAUGAAGACAACGUUCAGUUAACUCAAUGCUUUGAAAUUACUUUGAAAUGGAAUGGUUGUUCAGGCAUUCUGGGCCAGGUUGUGUCUAGUUAGCAAGGCUGUAUUUAGUUAACUGACUCUGAAAGUGAAAAGCAAUUUCAUAGUUGUGUCCUAAACUUCAUCAGUGUUUCUUGACAUGCUACUAUGUGGAACACUCCCUUCUUGGUGUGGCAACUCUGCAAAAUAUUUAGGUCUGCUAUUAGCAUAGCAGAGAGCAUAUAGGACCCUCUUAAGCUACAAACUGUGUUUCAGAAACCACAGCCAAUGCCAGAUCUCUGGUCUCCUUAAAAUUGUGCCCCUCUUAGAGUGGCCAUUUUUAUCCCAUUGUAAUUGACUUUUGUGAUUAUAAUUUGCUGAACUCUGCAACUCUAAAGGCAAAUUGCAAUGGAUCAGUUGAUCUAACUUGGACCUCGUCAGCAGGAGGAAGGCAGGAUGUAGAGGGAGUGAAUUACUGUCAAAUAUGAGGUUAAGUAGCCUGAGGUUAGAGAGGAAAAGAUCAGCAAAGCACUUCUAAUUGAUUUGUUAUGGACAACUUAACCGUAUUCACUCAUGAUCAGCACCCAUGCAAUAAAAUAAAACUGCAGGAAAACUCAUUCUUGUGUGCGUUCUACCAACAUCGGUGUACUGUCUCAUGGUUCCUGCAUGACUUUCCAGUUCUAUUCCACUUCACUAAUUACUGCACAGCUCUGACCAGGUUAAUACAAUCUAUGAUUCUACGAACCUCACAUAACUGCACAUGAUUAACACCACUGCAAUUUUUUGUUCUUUGUUAUCACUUUAAUUUAUUGCCAGAGUUUUUUAUUCUUUGGUCCUGUAAUUGGAUCCUUUCUUCUUUCUCAGCUUACAAUCUAAUCUUCUAGAAAUAUUGAUCUUGGCCACUCCCUGUGCCCAGUUCUUUGCCUUCUCUUUUUCAUUAUUAACUUCCUUCUUCUCCUGUUCCUACCACAUUCUGGUUUUUACAGAUGAAGAAUUUUGUUGUAUGUCUAUUUUUAUUCAAUUAUUAUUAAUAAAUAAAACCUUUAUCUAUCUGUGUACCCUCACAGAAGGAGUGUGGGCUGGGAAGCCAGGAAGAUGUGGCUUUCUGUGUAUGGUGACACUUCAUGUCAGUGCCAGAGAUUCUCUCAUUUUCAGAGAGUAGAUAGAUAUGUUUAGUGUUGUCUCUUCCUUUGGGGGAACCAAAUUCCUUGCUAGAAAAACUAGUGGGAUUAUCCCACGGCAAAAUGUGAUCUAGCAUCUGUGUGAUAUUUCAGAAGUGACAUGGUUUUUCAAAACCAUUUUUGAACCCCUCAAAGAAACAUUUUUGCACCUUCCCUUAGCAUUUUUACUUUUGGAAGAACAAAGGAAAUCUAAAAAAUACCAGACUGUUGUUCUAUCAAUGCCACUUCAUGGCUUACACGCUGAACAUACAAAAUCUGUGAUGGAUGUGAGGAAUUUUAUUCUUUUGGCCUAUAUAGGGCCCCUGCUUUAUUGAGAUAUUUUGCCUUUUAAAUAAGGACAAAUAAGUUUCUUAGAGAAAUCAACACUAAAAUACAGCCUAACACAAUCACAGAUAUUUAGUAGAGAUAGCAACUCGGUCCCCACAUCUAUGCAGCCUCGCCCCACAUUGUAUUAACAUUUCUGUGUGGCUCUUGCUUCUGGGUAGGCAUGAUCUCUCCUCCACAUCUGCCCUCUCUUCCAGAGUAGCUGACCAGUGUUAAGAAGCCAUGGUUUGGUUUUGCAAAUCUCCAGUUGUGUUCCCACUUGAAAGCAAAAUCUUCAUAAAAAGAUUUACAGUGACAAAAAAGAUUCAAAAUGAACACAUAUUAUGCAUCAUAUAGGGAUAUAAAUACUGAGUCAGUCACUUUGGAAGAAAAAAAGAAUGUAUGUUUAUGUACAUGUCCUAAAUGUAAAGGCAUAAAGGCUGAAGCUUUUGCCUUUGAACAUGUAUCACAGCAACAAAAUAGAGACUUGUGUGGGAAACAUCAGUAGGCUUAUUGUAUAACAGCUUUUAUUUAAAAUUUAUCCUCAGUCUUUCAUAGCAUUCACAGAUGUAAAGGAUUCAAUUUAAAUGCUUUUUACAAUUUACAGGAUUUACUGUUAGCACUGAAAGUUGACUGGUGCCUAUAGACACAUAUUUAUCAGAGCAUUACAUGUAGUAGCCAUGAGGCUUGGAAUAUAUAUAAUGCUUUUGGAUGACUUCUGCAAGGACAAAAAUCUGCCCUGUGUUUUAGCAUUAAUGAGGGACAGAAGGCAAAUGGAGUUGCUGUCAUACCUAUACACACAGCAAAUCUUCAGCCAUAUUAAGAGUCUGUUCAAACAAGAGAGAGAGGUAUGAGUAAAUUCUUUUUCUUGUUUACCAUGAACUGAAAAGUCAAUUAUGUAAGAUGCAGCAACUCAUGCACAAAACAGAGGGUGGCUGCAAGGUACCCAAAAAUGGAAUUUAUUUAACACAGCCUUCAUUACUGGUGAUAAUACUUGAGAAGAAAAGAAAGAAUCCAGGUUGCCACCCAUCUAGAAAGGCAUUUUAUAAUGCUUAAACAUAAAGCUGUUAGAAAACACUCUGAAAAAUUUUAGCAUUAUAAAAGGUCCCAUGGAGACAACAUGAGAAAUAUAAAAGAUGUCACAGAAGUAAGAGUAAUGCAAAGCGUGAUAAAAAAAGAUUGCUUGCUCCUUCUCUUCAAUAUCUGAAAGUAAUACUUCAGGCAUAGAUCAGUAACGUCUGAGAAAUAUCUAAGUUUUGCAAAAAAUAUGCAGAACCUCAUAUAUAUUCCUUUGUUCUUUUUUAAUAUCUUGGUCAGAAAAAAAAAAAGUAGUAUUACAAUUCAGUAAGCAAAAUGUUACAAUUUUCUAUUAUCAUGUACAAUAUAGCAUUUGUGUUUGUGUAAAUAAUAUUAUAAACUCACAAAUUAGAGCCUUUACUACCAGAUGGGGGAUUUGCUAAGCAAGUGAAUAUAUAUAAAGUCAAUGAUCUUCAAGUGAAUAAUCUGGAAGACAUUAGAUUAGCACAGCCCAUUAGUCCAUGGCAUAUGUCGUUUAUGUUUGCAUGUGUGUAUAUGUAUGUUCUAUUAUAUAUAUGCACUUCUCCAAGCUACAAUUUAGUUAUUGUUCCCCAGUGCAAUGUGUCAGAUCGUCUGAGGAAGGAUACAAGAUUUUUCCUGUUAUAGAAAUCCUCUACACUCCUCCUCCUCUGAAGAGGAAAUUCAGACUCUGAUCUACACUGGUACAAGGACCUAUAUAUUUUGCACUGACUUUUAGAACUCUUUGGGUCAUGCCUUAAUAAGCAGAAUACUGAUUGAUUUUGAGUGUAGCUGGAAUAUGGAUUGAUAUUUAUCUGUAUGAGACUAGCAUCAAAUCAUGCUUCCAGGAUUUCCUGUAAAACACAUCUUUAACAUGCUAGGAAAGUUUUCAUCAACUUGAUGCAAAAUUUUCUUUAUUAUUCAACAUUUCUCUCAACUAUACUAUACUGGUUGCAGUAUGAUAACUAUUGGUGUGAUACAGUAUACAGUAUGUGACAGUAUUGAACCAUCCUGUUCGCUAUGUUUCACCACGGACAAAUUUAAUGAAUAAUUAUAUAUUAGAUUUUAUACCUUUUGUUCAUAUGACUGUGACUCCAGCCAUAAAUAUACCUAAAAUUAAGUAUCUGGGCUUCAUCAUAGAUUAAAAUGUCUCUGUGAAUGGUUCUACCAUUGUCUCAAUUAGACCCCGUAAAUGUAUUCCUAUUAGUCAAUUAAAUAAUUCUAUUUUAUGAGAGCUUGCAUUAAUAACAAUUAAUUCAGAUUUUUAGGAAGGUUUUGCCAUGAUUAAAAUUCACCAGGAACAUAUCUCCUUGCUGUUGUCUUCAUGCUUCCAUAAUUUAAAUGAUGACUAUCUCAAAUUUCAGAGCAACAGGGCAUAACCGAGGCCCUUUUAAGCUGAUCAAAAGUCAAACCAAUUACAAAACACUUAGAACUGGCCUUGCUGGGCACUGCUGAUAUUAUCAUAGAUUCAUAGAAAAUCAACAGAGGAAAGUCGUUUAUGGGGUCAUUUUGUCUGUUAAACAGAAACAAGAAUGUCAGUGGGUUAAGUGACUGUGUAGUUGCUGGUGGUGAAAAAUUACUAGUUUUCAAUACAUUUUUAGUUUUCUUAGAAUCACAGAAUCAUUAAAUGGCCUGGGUUGAAAAGGACCACUAUGAUCAUCUAGUUUCAACCCCCCUGCUAUGUGCAGGGUCACCAACCACCAGACCAGGCUGCCCAGAGCCACAUCCAGCCUGGCCUUGAAUGCCUCCAGGGAUGGGGCAUCCGCAGUCUCUUUGGGCAACCUGUUCCAGUGCAUCACCACUCUCUGUUCUUCUUCUGUAGAAGCAUGUAUUUUCCCAUUUUUCAUUUUUUCCCCACUUUUCUUCCCUGCAGUUCUUUCCCAAAUGCCAGUUUUGUGGUUUUUUCCUUUUUGUCAAAAUGAUUUUUUUCAGCCAACAGAUCUCUCAGCUCAAGGUCGCAGCAGAGCUCUGCUUCUUGGAGGACCUUCUUGCAUCCUAGCUGAACCUAGCCCGUGAAUGGUCCUUUUUGCUCAGGUCUGUGUGAGGAGCCCUUUCACUUAACAGAUGUAUUAACUAAUGAGGAAAAACUGAUAAUAUAUUGACAGUUUAAAAAAUACUAGGUUUGAGCGCUGAAUUAUUCCUGUUUUUUUUAUGUGUAAUUUCUUCAGAGAACAAGACAAGUUUUGUCCUUUGUUGCUUGAAAUACCCUGUAGUUUAAACAUCCCUUAAAACAGAUUGGCCUCUGAGUAAGUGGUGUCAUUCAUUUAUCUCCUUCUUCCUGUUCCACUGACAUAAGUUUCCUGGCCUCUCAAGUGUCACUGUCAGCUCUCUGCAAGAGUUUUGCUAAGCUUGCAUAAGUUCUCUGCUUAUUUUGUUGCUAUUCCUUGCUACGGAGUGCACUCUGCGUGCCCUACCUGCUGCUGUUUGUUGCUCUGAAUAUCUCUGGCUUUCUAAAAUCCCAAUGACCCUUCCAAGCACUGGGGAACACUCAAGAGGAGCAGCUGAUGGAGUACUGAGAUCACUCUAAUACGUUUGUAAAAAUGUAUGAACCAUAUGAAAAACUGUAUUCGUUUUUAAUUUUAAAACUACUUUAAUCCUCAGUUAAGAUAGUAAAGCAUUCCUACUGGCACAGAAACUGGAGGUAUUUCAACAGAAGACGCUCAUUUCAGAAGACGUGAGUUACGGCAUUGCUGCUCUCCUCUUAAGAGAUCUUUUGCACGGCAUAGGUAGCAGUUUCUUUACUUAUGCUGAAUUUAUCACUAGCCAGGAAUCCAUCAGGAAGGUUGUGCUGGUAGCUGCUAAUUACGCAGUGGUUUCAAGUUGUCUCUGCUGCCAUUUUGAUGGAU
ensembl:lncRNA